rnacentral:rRNA from 1 species
GCCCGACUAUUGGGUUUCGUCCUGCAGUUCAAGCGUAAGCCGCCGACACUCGUUCACUCAGCUCUCACGGCUUUGAUCAACCGGUGGCGGCCAGAGACGCACAUCUUUCAUCUUCCAUGUGGGGAGAUGACCGUGACCCUCGAGGAUUGGGCGAUGAUUACGACACUACCGCUCGAGGGUCGUGCUCUAGAAAUCGGACUUCCGACAUACCGUUGUCAUGGCUCCUCGAGCACCGGAGCAAGUGCCCGGAAGACCGAGCCCCGAGUGGUGGAGCAGUACGCCAGGGCCUACCUGUGGUACAUUCUCAUGGAGGUA